AGUGAACGCUGGCGGUAGGCCUAACACAUGCAAGUCGAAGGGCAGCACAGUAAGAGCUUGCUCUUACGGGUGGCGAGUGGCGGACGGGUGAGGAAUACAUCGGAAUCUACUUUUUCGUGGGGGAUAACGUAGGGAAACUUACGCUAAUACCGCAUACGACCUACGGGUGAAAGCAGGGGAUCUUCGGACCUUGCGCGAUUGAAUGAGCCGAUGUCGGAUUAGCUAGUUGGCGGGGUAAAGGCCCACCAAGGCGACGAUCCGUAGCUGGUCUGAGAGGAUGAUCAGCCACACUGGAACUGAGACACGGUCCAGACUCCUACGGGAGGCAGCAGUGGGGAAUAUUGGACAAUGGGCGCAAGCCUGAUCCAGCCAUACCGCGUGGGUGAAGAAGGCCUUCGGGUUGUAAAGCCCUUUUGUUGGGAAAGAAAAGCAGCAGGUUAAUACCCCGCUGUUCUGACGGUACCCAAAGAAUAAGCACCGGCUAACUUCGU
rnacentral:rRNA from 1 species